UACGAAGGGGGCUAGCGUUGCUCGGAAUCACUGGGCGUAAAGCGCACGUAGGCGGAUCUUUAAGUCAGGGGUGAAAUCCCAAGGCUCAACCUUGGAACUGCCUUUGAUACUGGGGAUCUCGAGUCCGGAAGAGGUUGGUGGAACUGCGAGUGUAGAGGUGAAAUUCGUAGAUAUUCGCAAGAACACCAGUGGCGAAGGCGGACAACUGAUCCGGUACUGACGCUGAGGUGCGAAAGCGUGGGGAGCAAACAGG
rnacentral:rRNA from 1 species